ACGUGAUCUGAGUUCAGACCGGAGUAAUCCAGGUCGGUUUCUAUCUAUAAGAAGUUUCUUCUAGUACGAAAGGAUCGAAGAAACACGGCCUAUGCAUAAGUAAGCCAUUCGUAAAAAUUAUGAACUAAAACUCAAUCUUAAACCAGUUCGUUAUAUAACCUUAUAUAAAGGUA
rnacentral:rRNA from 1 species